AGAGUUUGAUCCUGGCUCAGGAUGAACGCUGGCGGCGUGCUUAACACAUGCAAGUCGAACGAUGAAAUCUCUUCGGAGAUGGAUUAGUGGCGAACGGGUGAGUAACACGUGGGCAAUCUGCCCUGCACUCUGGGACAAGCCCUGGAAACGGGGUCUAAUACCGGAUGAUACUUCUGCUCGCAUGGGUGGGGGUUGAAAGCUCCGGCGGUGCAGGAUGAGCCCGCGGCCUAUCAGCUUGUUGGUGAGGUAGUGGCUCACCAAGGCGACGACGGGUAGCCGGCCUGAGAGGGCGACCGGCCACACUGGGACUGAGACACGGCCCAGACUCCUACGGGAGGCAGCAGUGGGGAAUAUUGCACAAUGGGCGAAAGCCUGAUGCAGCGACGCCGCGUGAGGGAUGACGGCCUUCGGGUUGUAAACCUCUUUCAGCAGGGAAGAAGCGCAAGUGACGGUACCUGCAGAAGAAGCGCCGGCUAACUACGUGCCAGCAGCCGCGGUAAUACGUAGGGCGCAAGCGUUGUCCGGAAUUAUUGGGCGUAAAGAGCUCGUAGGCGGUCUGUCGCGUCGGAUGUGAAAGCCCGGGGCUUAACCCCGGGUCUGCAUUCGAUACGGGCAGACUAGAGUGUGGUAGGGGAGAUCGGAAUUCCUGGUGUAGCGGUGAAAUGCGCAGAUAUCAGGAGGAACACCGGUGGCGAAGGCGGAUCUCUGGGCCAUUACUGACGCUGAGGAGCGAAAGCGUGGGGAGCGAACAGGAUUAGAUACCCUGGUAGUCCACGCCGUAAACGGUGGGAACUAGGUGUUGGCGACAUUCCACGUCGUCGGUGCCGCAGCUAACGCAUUAAGUUCCCCGCCUGGGGAGUACGGCCGCAAGGCUAAAACUCAAAGGAAUUGACGG
rnacentral:rRNA from 3 species